rnacentral:rRNA from 1 species
GAUGAACGCUGGCGGCGUGCCUAAUACAUGCAAGUCGAGCGAACAGACGAGGAGCUUGCUCCUCUGACGUUAGCGGCGGACGGGUGAGUAGCACGUGGAUAACCUACCUAUAAGACUGGGAUAACUUCGGGAAACCGGAGCUAAUACCGGAUAAUAUAUUGAACCGCAUGGUUCAAUAGUGAAAGACGGUUUUGCUGUCACUUAUAGAUGGAUCCGCGCCGCAUUAGCUAGUUGGUAAGGUAACGGCUUACCAAGGCGACGAUGCGUAGCCGACCUGAGAGGGUGAUCGGCCACACUGGGACUGUGACACGGUCCAGACUCCGACGGGAGGCAGCAGUAGGGAAUCUUCCGCAAUGGGCGAAAGCCUGACGGAGCAACGGCGCGUGGGUGAUGAAGGUCUUCGGAUCGUAAAACUCUGUUAUUAGGGAAGAACAAAUGUGUAAGUAACUAUGCACGUCUUGACGGUACCUAAUCAGAAAGCCACGGCUAACUACGUG